rnacentral:rRNA from 1 species
CAGCCGCGGUAAUACGUAGGCAGCGAGCGUUGUUCGGAGUUACUGGGCGUAAAGGGUGUGUAGGCGGUUCUUUAAGUUUGGUGUGAAAUCUCCCGGCUCAACCGGGAGGGUGCGCCGAAUACUGAGGGACUAGAGUGCGGGAGAGGAAAGUGGAAUUCCUGGUGUAGCGGUGAAAUGCGUAAAUAUCAGGAGGAACACCGGUGGUGUAGACGGCUUUAUGGACCGUAACUGACGCUGAGACACGAAAGCGUGGGUAGCAAACAGGAUUAGAUACCCUGGUAGUCCACGCCCUAAACGAUGCAUAUUUGGUGUGGGUCAUUCAGUUGAUCCGUGCCGGAGCUAACGCGUUAA